AGGCAGUGUGGUUAGCUGGUUGUGGAAUCGAGGUACACAGCCACUUAUUACACUACCCAU
rnacentral:pre_miRNA from 1 species